UGGCAUUCUUGAAGAACAGUAGGGCCGGUGUGGCUUAACAGAAGGCCAAAGCAACGAGAAGAGUAUAAACUGUCCGGGUCCAGAUGAACACCCGAUGAACAACCCCUCUCAUCCUCUCAGAUACAGAAACAAAGACAAUGAAGUAGGAUUCCAAUACAUAGCUUUUCCAUAGUAUAUAUAACCAGCUCCUACUGAUGAACCUCUGUUUCCAAACUACUGCUAUCAUGACAAGGCUGCAGUGAAUAUCUAUGCACAUUCGUCAUUUUGUACAUUU